ensembl:lncRNA
CCCAGUUGUUGUUUUCACCAGUGUUUCUAUUAUUCCUGGGUUUGUGUCCUGCCUUGUUUGGAUUACCUGCCUUUUGUGGAUUUAUAUAUACCAAGUUGUUUCUGGAUUACACAUUCACCAACAGAUCAGUUCAGCUGGUUGCAAUCACUGUGCUACUAGGGCCUGCUUUCGUCUGCAUGACAACAUCUGACCAUUUGCCUUGCUUUAUUUUACCUGCUUGUUGUUCAGUAAAUUUUUGUUGCAUUCGCAAUUGGACCUUGAGUGUUCAACCUUCAAAUAUUUGUCCAUCAUACAUAAAUGAAAAAGGUAAUGUUACAUGCACUGCCAGACUGAUAAGGAUGAACCUCACAAUUGCUGACUGCACACAGGAAGUCAAGCUGCCCAUUUGUGACAGCCAGUGUGAGACACACAACAGGUGGGUUCUUACCAAUGACACACUUCAGCUUGAACAGAGUCACCAGUGCUGUAAGGGGAGAGGUUAUGAGAUGAGAGAAAUCACUUUGACUUGCAGUAAAAACUUCCCAACCCACUUCACAUAUAAACAUGUUACAGGCUGUGAAUGCAAGGUUGAACGUUAAGUUUACUUGACAAACAAAUGUAUGAAAAUGUUAGUUAAUGUUAAAUGUGAUUAACUUUGGUGUGUGUGUGUGUGUGUGUGUUAUAUAUGCACACUUAAUUAUUAGCUCCUGAUGUGUGAGAUGAUUGAGUACUUUUCCGUAUAUUUCAAGCAAAUCAACUUCAUUAAUUGUCAGUCAUCUGUCUGUGCAAAAGUCUGUGCUUUAUCUUACUUAAAUAAUAACCAGUUUUAUCUUGUUUUGCCAAAAACCUACUGCAAUAUAUGUGGAAUAUAUUUCAAUUAUUACUUUAAUUUGAACUGUUUUAUGUUUUCUGACCAUGUCACAUAUGAAUAAUGCCAUGCUUGUGUGUGUCUGUACUUUGAAUGUGAUUUAAUCACCAAAUCAAACUUGAAGCUGAUAUCAGGUG